GACGAACGCUGGCGGCGUGCUUAACACAUGCAAGUCGAACGGAAGGGCCCUGCUUUUGUGGGGUGCUCGAGUGGCGAACGGGUGAGUAACACGUGAGUAACCUGCCCUUGACUUUGGGAUAACUUCAGGAAACUGGGGCUAAUACCGGAUAGGAGCUCCUGCUGCAUGGUGGGGGUUGGAAAGUUUCGGCGGUUGGGGAUGGACUCGCGGCUUAUCAGCUUGUUGGUGGGGUAGUGGCUUACCAAGGCUUUGACGGGUAGCCGGCCUGAGAGGGUGACCGGCCACAUUGGGACUGAGAUACGGCGCAGACUCCUACGGGAGGCAGCGGUGGGGAAUAUUGCACAAUGGGCGGAAGCCUGAUGCAGCAACGCCGCGUGCGGGAUGACGGCCUUCGGGUUGUAAACCGCUUUCGCCUGUGACGAAGCGUGAGUGACGGUAAUGGGUAAAGAAGCACCGGCUAACUACGUG
rnacentral:rRNA from 1 species